rnacentral:rRNA from 1 species
UGCGAAGGCAAGCGGAUCUCUUAAAGCCGUUCUCAGUUCGGACUGUAGGCUGCAACUCGCCUACACGAAGCUGGAAUUGCUAGUAAUGGCAGGUCAGCAUACUGCCGUGAAUACGUUCCCGGGCCUUGUACACACCGCCCGUCACACCAUGAGAGUUGGGAAUACCCGAAGCCUGUGAGCUAACUGUAAGGAGGCAGCAGUCGAAGGUAGAAUCAAUGAUUGGGGUGAAGUCGUAACAAGGUAAC